AGUUCUAAAGCUGCCAUUGUAGUAUGGUAGCUUGUAGUUGGUGAGUGGCGAGUGUGACCGGCUGGAUCGAAUUAAAAGUAGUAAUAGUGUUUAAAAAUCUGUGUGAAAAAUAGCAUGAGAAUGUUGCGACUAAAACAAGAAAUUAUGGAUGAUGACGAAAAAGGCAAGCUCUUUGUAGGAGGAUUAUCCUGGGAGACAACUCAGGAUAACUUACAAAGAUAUUUCUCUCGAUACGGAGAAGUAAUUGACUGUGUGGUUAUGAAGAACGCUGAAUCGGGAAGAUCAAGAGGAUUUGGAUUUGUUACAUUUGCUGAUCCUGCUAAUGUAAAUUUAGUUUUGCAAAACGGACCACAUACACUAGACGGAAGAACAAUUGACCCCAAACCUUGCAAUCCCAGAACAUUGCAGAAACCUAAGAAAGGCGGAGGUUAUCCCAAAGUAUUCUUGGGAGGUUUACCAUCUAACGUUACAGAAACUGACCUCAGAAGUUUUUUUACACGCUUUGGAAAAGUAAUGGAAGUUGUCAUUAUGUACGAUCAAGAAAAGAAAAAAUCCAGAGGAUUUGGUUUCUUAUCAUUUGAAGAUGAGGAGGCGGUGGAUAGAUGCGUCUCAGAACAUUUUGUUAAUUUAAACGGCAAACAAGUAGAAAUCAAAAAAGCCGAACCGCGUGACGGAUCUGGUGGAAAUAAAAUGGGCGGCGAUCCGGCUUCAGCUUGGGGACCGCCACAAGCACCUAUGGGUAUGAUGCAAGGUCCAAAUGGACAGAUGGGCGGACCACCGAUGAAUUUGGCAGCACCGAUGGGCCCUAACAUGAUGCAAAGUUAUCAAGGUUGGGGUACUUCGCCUCAACAACAAAGUUAUGGUGGUUAUGGAACGCCUUCGGGACCCGGAUCUUAUCAAGGCUGGGGCGCCCCGCCUGCGCCACAAGGGCCUCCUCCACAAUGGGGUAAUAAUUAUGGUGGACCGCCACAACAACAAGGUUAUGGUUCUUAUGGUGAGUAUGGACCCAACGCUGGUAGCGGCGCUGCUAGUUGGAACAGCUGGAACAUGCCUCAGAAUAGUGCUUCAACUGGCCCAUCAGGUUACAUCGCCAGCGAUAUCUAUUCAAGGGGACAAUCCGGACCAGGUGGUCCGGGCACUCCAAGCGGACCGCCUAAUAUGUCAUCAUCUGGUACAAAUUCCAAACCGGGCUCAGAUUAUAACUACGCAGGUUACGGAUCUUAUUCGACGGAGGCAGGUUAUGGCGCUCCACCUAGAUCGUACGGUAGCGACGCUGGAUCUCAAGUAGGAGGAUAUUCGUCGCAACCCCCAAAUCCAGAUUUUCAUUCGGCCCUAAAAGAAAUGCAGUUGCACUGAAAAAUUUAGGUUUUUUAGCCAGUGGUUGAAAUCUGUAGAGGCUUAAUGUCUUUAGUGGAACGGCGAUGAAAACAUCUAUUAACAAUUAUAAGGUGCAUCUAAAUGUAUUUGAAUUCGUACUAAAUUAGCGCAUGGACUAUGUGAGCAAAAUUUAUUGAACUUGCGCCUUGAAUUAGUAAAAAAAAUUAUAAUAAAUAACUUAUUAGUAGCAAUUUCACAUAAGUGCUAGUUGAUUGUUUAAAAAAUCAGGUGAGUCGUAAAAUUAUCCAACACCAAUAAGGUUUAAAGAAAAUCUUUCGACCGUUCUUAGUGUAUGGAAACAUAUGUCGGUUUUCUGUAUAUUGAAAAAAAAAAGAAAGUUUCGUAUUGUUGCAUCCUUCAUUUGUUGACAAAAUCUAUUUUUUUGAUAUUUUUUUCAACGAGACUUCCAUCUUCAAUAAAAAAAUUAUUCUCAAAAUAUAUUUAUUGACAAUUCUACGAUUUUUUUUUUCGAAAAAUGACAUCAAAAUAAUAUUUGUGAGGUAAGCCUCGCUCACAUUAACCGGUAGUUCCGAGUCCGGUUCGUCUCCGGUAUAAACGACUCAAUAAAAAAUCAAAAAAGAAUCAAAAAGAUGGUUGAUGUAUAAAUCCAUCAAAAUUGAUUCUAAUCGAGAUUUUCACCAUAUUUCUACGGGGUGUAUACGGAAAGUAAUGCUGUAUUUAAAAACUUACAAUUUAACAUUCUUUUUUAAACUUAUUUUCGUAAAAUGACGACGAAAUAAUAUUUGUGAGGUUAUGUUUCACCUGAGAAUCAACGGUAGAUUGAAAUUUUUUUGUUUCGAUAACUUUUAUUAGGUCGUGGUGAAAGGCUCUGGUUCACACUAACCGGUAGUUUCGGGACCGGUUCUUUGGUAUAAACGACGCAAUAAAUGAUCAAAAAAAAACAAUAAGAUGGUGGAUGUUAUAAAUUCAUCAAAAUUGAUUCUAAUCGCGAUUUUUAUCAUCUUUCUACGGGGUAUAUAUGAAAAGUAAUGCAUCGAGAGCUGUAUUUAAAAAGUUUAAAAUUUUUCUUUUUCAUUAUUUUUUUAUUAAAAUCCCUUACAGAAAAGUUUUUGAGAGUUAUGUUUUCACAAAAAGGUUUAUUUUUUAGUUUGUCCUUAUACGGCUACUGCACUGUUGCGGUAUAUCGUAUCGUGUGUGUCGAGCUUAAACAGUCUGUAAAUAAUGAAAAAAAUCAUCUCAAGAUCUAUCCAUUUUCUAUAUUAGACGGUCUCAAUGUUAUAGAGUCGUUCUAAAAAGGAUAUUACAUUGUAACAUAUCGAAUCACGUGGUUUAUGGAUCCCAAUAGAGAAAAAUGGUUUGUAAAACCACGAAUUUGUACAAAAACAUUUUUUUUAAAUUUUUUUCUUCACUAAAAUACGCAAAAUAAAAGUUUUGAGGUUAUGUUUUCGUUGGAGCAUAUCGAAUUUAUAUAUUUACACGUUUUACAAAUUCCAAUAGGAUGAAAUGGUUUUUAAAACUAUAAAUCGCGCAUUUUUGUACGAAAAAUGUUUUUAAUUUCCAUUAUUUUCCCAUUGAAAUGCGUUAGUUUUUGAGGUUAUGUUCGCGCAAACAGGUUUAUUUUGCAAACUAUGACGUUACUUGUUCUGGUAAACUUUCAAUGCCAUUCGGCUUACAGUUACAGUUAAUUUUUCGAAAGUAUUAAUCAGUUUUUUAUAGAUUUAAUUAGCCCAUUUGGUUUUUUAUAAUUUUAGACAAAAUUAUUUGAAAAAAAUAAUAAUAAUGAAACCGUAUUUUCCAUGACAAAAAAAAUUAUUUUCAUUUUAUGAAUUUAGUUGUUCUCGUUGGAAAAUUUUUGAAAAUUAGAUCGUGUCAAUGAUGUGAGGAUUCCUUGUAUAUUUAAUUAACAUAAUUAACAGUUUUGUUUUUUACGAGUUGUGUGAAUAAUUUGAAAAAAAAGUAUAUAUAUAUAUAUAUAUAUAUAUAUAUAUAAAAAUUAGUAUAAAAUUAGAUGACUUAUUUAGAAUAGAUAAAUGUUAAAAAAACUGCAUUUUUUUGAAUAUUUGAAUUUCCCGCUUAGAUUUUUUUAUACCGAUUUAUUGAUAGGGACUGGAAAUUUUUUAUCUAAAGAAAUAAAUACAAAUUGAAUAGAGUUCAUGUUGAAAAUAAAAAAAACUAAUAAUUUAGUGUUUAAAACGUGUCUAUGGGGUGUUGCAAAAAUUACGAAAAGUUAGUAACAAAUAUCAAAUAAUUUAAAACUGGAAAUAUAUAUAUAUAUUGACAAGUUUUUUUAUAAAUUACCGAAAUUUAACGGAAUUUUGCAACAUUUUGUAGUUUCCUCAGUCUAUAAUAAAGAAAAAAUUAGAAAUAAUCGUAAUAGUUGAUAAGUAAUUUACGGGUCUAUUUGAAUGGUUGUUAGGUAUUAUAUUCCCUUUCUGACGUGGUGGGGGAGUUGCUGUAAAUAAAAACAAAUAUUAAUACAAAACACUAUCAUACGAAUCGUCUACACUGGAAAAAAUAAUUAACUAUAUACACAGUCUUUUCGUUUUUUUUUUCCAAUUUAUUUGAAGGAAAAAUUACAGAAUUAACAUAAAUAAAAUCAAACUUCUGACAUUUUGUCCAAGAACUUUUGUUUUAGUACAUUUUUUCGUCACUUAUAACAAUUUCUAUUGUAAUAUCGUCAGUUAACGUUAUAAAUAAUCAAUUACCAAUUAAACUUCUGGUAAUUUGUCCUUAAUUUCUUUUUCUCGUCCAUUUUUUCGUCACUUUUAACAACUUCUAUAAUAAAAUCGUCAGUUAACGUGUUAAAUAAUCAAUUACCAAUCAAACUUCUGGUAAUUUGUCCUUAAUUUCUUUUUCUGAUCAGUUUUUUCGUCAGUUUUAAUAAUUUCCAUUAAAACAUCGUCAGUUAACGUGUUAAAUAAUCAAUUACCAAUCAAACUUCUGGUAAUUUGUCCUUAAUUUCUUUUUCUGAUCAGUUUUUUCGUCAGUUUUAAUAAUUUCCAUUAAAACAUCGUCAGUUAACGUGUUAAAUAAUCAAUUACCAAUCAAACUUCUGGUAAUUUGUCUUUAAUUUCUUUUUCUCUUUCAAAUUUGGGUCACUUUUAAGAACUUCCAUUAAAACAUCGUCAGUUAACGUGUUAAAUUUCAAAUUGUUUAUUUCUAAUAGUUAUUUAAAAAAAAAUAUUUGUUCGAUAACAAUUAUUUUCUAAGGUAGUUAGAAGUUGGGUGCGUUUCGGAAAAAUAUUCUCAGAAUGUUCGUAGAUGAUUCUAUAUCUUUGUACACACGAGUAUAUUAAAAUAACUUUAUACGGAAUCCCCAGGUAUAUUUGUAGCUUCUAGACAUUACAAAAAUACUACAAUAUAAAAUUUAUUUAUUAAAUUGCUUCUAUAGUUAAUUAAAUUGUUAGUAUAUAAUUAUAAAUUUAAUUAGAGAAAGUUAAAAUUAGAUAAAAUUUGACUGAUGUACAGGUACUACUCAAUAAGUUUUAAAUUUAAAAAAAAAGAAGAAUAUAUUAUGUACAAUAAAAAAACAUCAUAAAAACCUAGGGCCUUUAAAUAUAGUGCAAUGUCUCAUGUCGUUUUUAUCUAGGUACAUAGUUCAUUAAGAUAUUUCCAUAAUUAUUUAACAUAAUUUUAAAUUAAGGGUGUACGUGUUUCUUCAAAACACACGCUGAAACAGUCAGUCCGAAAGAUGGUACAUUCAGAGAAAAAAAAUUAUAAGAGUACGUUGUGCUGAAGAGGUAUAACAACGUUGAAACUGGUCUACAAUAUUGAGAAAAAGACACGUUCCUUUGGGAAAAUUAUCGAAAUAUACAGGGGGAAAUUAUUUUUUCUUCGCUUAUACGUUUUCAUUAAGAAUAUACAGGGUCAAUUGAAUUUAUUGCAGAUUAAAUUAUUACGGAUAGAAAUAAUUUUUUUUUACUAAACAAAUAUUUACUUGCGAAAGUAUCGAUUUUGUUAAAUAUACAGGGUGUUUCGGAAUUUGAUGCAAAAAAUUCGAGAGUGAAUACAUGACGUGAAAAUAAUGGUGUGAUACGAAAAAGGCCUAUAACUCAGUAACGAAGGGUGGUACGAGAAAAUUUUUUUAUGUCACAACGUUAUUUUCACGUCAUCUAUUCACUUACGAAUUUUUCGAGUCUCGGAACACCCUGUAUUUAAAGAAUGAAUUCUAUUCGUGGAUUGCCAUCUAUUGGACUGCGCAUAGACUAUUUGUUGCUCAAAGAAAAAGAAAAUAAUUCAUUUUUGUAUUAAGUUAAUGCUCUAAAAUAAUUAAAAGGAAUCGUAUACGGGGUUUACCAAAAAGUCCUCAACGGGAUCGUAAUUUUCAAACGAGCUAAGAAAAAAAAAUUGAUAUCGAAAAAGGCCGAGAAUUUUUUUAUAAACAAAAAAAUUGAUCGUUUUGUCUAUAUACAGGCAAAUUUAUGAAAAUUACGUAAUUUUGUAAUUUUUUUUCCCUGUAUAUUCAAUUAAAAUUUCAUAUCACAGUUUUUUUAAAAUGCACUACAGAGGAUAAGCGAUUUAUGGACAAGGGAUGGACAAAAUGUUAGUUGGAGGAUUCUUCUCGUUCUACGAAAGUUUCGACCCAUAGAAACUAUAGUUUCCAGGGUUUUUUUCGACAGGAAAAUAACGAUCGCGUUUUGGUUUUUUUUGUUAAACCCCAUAUUUAAUAUAUCAGUGUGACUUGCGUGUGUGUCAAACUUGUUUUUUAAUUCUUAAGUCAGCUAGUUACUCGAUUAUGAAAAGGUGUUAUUUAAUAAUUAAGUCAAUGUUGAAUUUUUCCCUACUUUAACUUCUUCAACCGUACUAUUCUUCGUAAUAAUGAAAAUCCUCUACCACUGUGUUUUGAAAACGAAAAAAAAAUUGAGCUUGAUAGAUUUGUAUGUAUUUCAAACAAUAUCCAGUAGAAAAAUCCAUCGAAACGUUGAUCAUCUCACGUCGGAACUAAACUAAAAUUUUUUGUAUAAAAAAAAAACACUCAAUUUGGCGCCCAAUUCGAUCGUUUUAUUAGAAAUUUUCAACUUGGAAAUCAAUAAUCUCCUAAAUUAUUUUUGGAUAUAAUGAGACACACUGUAUAUAAUUUUUGAUUGUAAUUUUAUUAAAUUCUACAGUUGGCGCCGUAUAUUUUUUAAAAUACCAUCGAAAAUCUAGAAUAAUUUGAAUUAUUUCAAAUAUAUAAUGAGACAUACUGUAUAUUUAUACCUUGGAUUGGAUUUGGUUAGAUGCCGCAAAUAUUUUAUUUUUGCCCCAAUAAAUCUGCGAAACAAUAAUGGACGAAAUUCGAAAUUUACGAUUCUAUGAUCUUGAAAAAGCGUUCGAUCGAGUUCUAUAUCUCGAAUUAUGUUUGGUUUUUACCAAAAACAAAUUUGUUGAUAGAUAACGAUGCUGGGAUUGGAUUUUCACCCCAAAAGAGGGGUGAAAAAGGUCUUGAAAAAGCGUUCGAUCGAGUUCUAUAUCUCGAAUUAUGUUUGGUUUUUACCAAAAACAAAUUUGUUGAUAGAUAACGAUGCUGGGAUUGGAUUUUCACCCCAAAAGAGGGGUGAAAAAGGUCUUGAAAAAGCGUUCGAUCGAGUUCUAUAUCUCGAAUUAUGUUUGGUUUUUACCAAAAACAAAUUUGUUGAUAGAUAAUGAUGCUGGGAUUGGAUUUUCACCCCAAAAGAGGGGUGAAAAAGGUCUUGAAAAAGCGUUCGAUUGAGUCCUAUAUCUCGAAUCGUGGUUGGAUUUUUUUUAAAAACGACUUGUAUACUGAUACCGUUAACAAAAUCUAAUGCCAAAACGAAUACGCCUUAGAAGAAUUAUGUAAAACGUCAAGAGACAAAAAGUGGGACAUCCUAUGGCUUCGAAUGAUAUUAUUUUCUAUAAAAGAAGAAAUUCGAUGAAACUCUUCAAUCAGGGUCGUAUAUUUAUUAAGAUACAGUCGAAAAUUUGGAUUAUUUUGAAUUAUUUUAAAAAUACAACGAGACAUACUGUAUAUUGAUACUUUUUAUUUGGAAUUUAAAGCGAAAAAACUACGUAGGGUUCUGAUUUUGACCCUAAGACAUCUGCGAAACAAUAAUCGACGAAAAUAACGAACAUUUCACAUACUUUAAAAAAAAAUAAUGAGACAUACUGUAUAUAUAUACACUUUGAUUUGGAAUUUUAAUAGGAUAGCCGUCGCAGGAAUUUGAUUUUCAUCCCAAGAAAUCUGCAAAACAAUAAUCGACGAAAUUCGAAACUUACGAUUCUAUGAUGUUGAAAAAGCUUUCGAUCGAGUUCUAUAUUUUGAAUCGUGGUUUUAAAACCGCUGCCGUUAACAAAAUCUAACGCCCAAACGACCACGUUUUUGGAAAAAGUCUUUGAACCGUCAUGACGAAAAAAGUGGGACAUCCUAUAGUUUCGUAUUAUCUAUAAAAGAAGAAAUUCGAUUGUUUUAGAUCAAAAUAAUCACGGAGAAGCUGCGAAUGAUAACGAUCAUUUUUGACUCACUUGGAUUUAAAAAAACAAACGAAAAUGCAAAUUUUCAAUCAAUUGCCUAAAAUAUCGUAAAUAAAAAAAUGGGACAAACUUUAUACACUUUAUAUUUAUUAUCGCACAAGAAAGAACAAAAUUGAUGAAGCUCUGAAAUUGUGGUCGUAUAUUUAUUAAAAUACAGUGGAAAAUUUAGAAUAUUUUGAAUAACUUCAAAUAUACAAUGAGACAUACUGUAUAUUGACACUUUUUGAUUGGAAUUUAAAUCGAAAAAAUUACGAUUUUUACCCCAAGAAAUCUGAGAAACAAUAAUCGACGAUAAUAACGAACAUUUCACAUACUUUAAAAAAUAUAAUGAGACAUACUGUAUAUAUAUACACUUUUAAUUGGAAUUUUAAUCGGAUAGCUGACGCAGGAAUAUUAUUUUCAUCCCAAGAAAUCUGCAAAACAAUAAUCGACGAAAUUCUAAACUUACGAUUCUAUGAUGUUGAAAAAGCUUUCGAUCCAGUUCUAUAUCUCGAAUUAUGUGCGGCUUUUUCCAAAAACAAAUUUGUUGAUAGAUAAUGGUGCUGGGAUUUGAUUAUCACCCCAAAAAAUCUGCGAUAUUAUAAAUUUAAUGAUUUCUUGAACCUGAAAAAGCAUUCGAUCGUGUCCUAUAUCUCGAUUCGUGGUUGGAUUGUUUUUCAAAAACGACUUGUAUACUGAUACUGUUAAAAAAAUCUAAUGCCAAAACGAACAUGCCUUAGAAAAAUUAUGUAAAACGUCAAGUGACAAAAAGUGGGACAUCCUAUAGCUUCGAAUGAUAUUAUUUUCUAUAAAAGAAGAAAUUCGAUGAAACUGUUCAAUCGGGGUCGUAUAUUUUGAUCCUAAGACAUCUGCGAAACAAUAAUCGACGAAAAUAACGAACAUUUCACAUACUUUAAAAAAUAUAAUGAGACAUACUGUAUAUAUAUACACUUUGAAUUGGAAUUUUAAUCGGAUAGCCGUCGCAGGAAUUUGAUUUUCAUCCCAAGAAAUCUGCAAAACAAUAAUCGACGAAAUUCGAAACUUACGAUUCUGUGAUGUUGAAAAAGCUUUCGAUUGAAUUCUAUAUCUCGAAUUAUGUUCGGCUUUUUCCAAAAACAAAUUUGUUGAUAGAUAAUGGUGCUGGGAUUGGAUUUUCACCCUAAAAUAUCUGCGAAACAAUAAUCGACGAAAUUCGAAACUUAUGAUUUCAUGAUCUUGAAAAAGCUUUCGAUCCAGUCCUAUAUCUCGAACCGUGUUUUUAUAAUUUUUGGUCAUUAAUAAUGUUUUUAUUUCGUGAAAAAUUGUGGUAGUACGACGUGACAUGAACGUGAUUCUUCUUCUAUGUAUAAAAUUAUGGUAAAGGUUAUCGUGGUCAUUAAAUAAAUAGUAAUUGUUAUAAAUAUGAACAAAUAGCUAGUUCGGAAAUAACUGUUUUAAGAAAAUAUAUGAUAAAUAUAUAUAGUAGUGCAUUUUUAAGUGGGUAGUUUAUAUAUUUAGCUUCAUUUAAGAUGUUUAUUAGUUGAUAGAAUACUUACAAAAAAAAACAAUGUACCUAUCACAUCUCUGAAAACUGAGAAAAUAUAACACAUGAUAAAAAAUUCAACUGUCUGUUUUUCUUCUACCUUUGACAUAUAUUUCUAUCCAUAUAAAAAAUUUUUACGUAACUUUCGAUUAUACCAGGUGUACCAAAUAUAAACUCGCUGCGGAAGUUGUUCGGCAGCUGCGGGCGAUUAUGGAAAUGGACCACAACGUGGUGGUACAUAUGGAGUCGUCCAACCCUAUCAUCCUUACCGACGAUAAAUAAACGUUAUAAAAUAUGUUAUUUUCGAAAUAUGGUACCUGUUGACUAUACAAAUUUGUCUUUUAAUAUUUUCUCACUCAUUGUUUAUAAUUGUAAUUUGUUUAGGUAAUAAAAAGUACUUGACAAUUUUCCAAA